GUCUGGGAAACGUGCCUGAUGGAGGGGGAUAACUACUGGAAACGGUAGCUAAUACCGCAUAACGUCGCAAGACCAAAGAGGGGGACCUUAGGGCCUCCUGCCAUCGGAUGUGCCCAGAUGGGAUUAGCUAGUAGGUGGGGUAAAGGCUCACCUAGGCGACGAUCCCUAGCUGGUCUGAGAGGAUGACCAGCCACACUGGAACUGAGACACGGUCCAG
rnacentral:rRNA from 1 species